rnacentral:rRNA from 1 species
GAUCAUGGCUCAGGACGAACGCUGGCGGCGUGCUUAACACAUGCAAGUCGAACGAAGAGNGAUGGAAGCUUGCUUCUAUCAAUCUUAGUGGCGAACGGGUGAGUAACGCGUAAUCAACCUGCCCUUCAGAGGGGGACAACAGUUGGAAACGACUGCUAAUACCGCAUACGAUCCAAUCUCGGCAUCGAGACUGGAUGAAAGGUGGCCUCUAUUUAUAAGCUAUCACUGAAGGG